UCGGGAAUUUUGGGCAAUGGGCGAAAGCCUGACCCAGCAACGCCGCGUGAGGGAUGAAGUAUUUCGGUAUGUAAACCUCGAAAGAAUGGGAAGAAUAAAUGACGGUACCAUUUAUAAGCUCCGGCUAACUACGUGCCAGCAGCCGCGGUAAUACGUAGGGAGCAAGCGUUGUUCGGAUUUACUGGGCGUAAAGGGCGCGUAGGCGGCGCGGUAAGUCACGUGUGAAAUCUCUGUGCUUAACUCAGAACGGCCAAGUGAUACUGCUGUGCUAGAGUGCGGAAGAGGCAACCGGAAUUCUUGGUGUAGCGGUGAAAUGCGUAGAUAUCAAGAGGAACACCUGAGGCGAAGGCGGGUUGCUGGGCCGACACUGACGCUGAUGCGCGAAAGCCAGGGGAGCAAACG
rnacentral:rRNA from 1 species